rnacentral:lncRNA from 1 species
CCAGUACCUAAAACUUCAGGUGUAAAAUUGAGAUCAUUUGCCCAACUUCUCUAUCUGCAGACGCUGUCUCAACCAGGAGGACAUGAGGAAAAGAAUGCAGACAGUCAAGCACCUCGAUACACACAUAACUGGAGGGCAACAGGAUGCUUCACAAGAUGCAGAAACUGGGAACGACAGGGACCUUCUCCACUUCCAAGGAAGCGAAUAGACAAAGAUGCCUCAGGAUCCCUCGUGAGUUGGGGCAAGAUGGCGUCCAUUGCUGGGUUCUUAAAAGAUUUUGAGCUUAAAGAUUU